rnacentral:ribozyme from 13 species
AGAGAAAAGAGAAAAGAAAAAAGAAAAGAGAAAAAAGAUGAGGGGAUUUGGAAUUUGUUUUUUUAUUCUUUUUCUUUCUUUUCUUUUUGUUUUAAAUGCUGACCAAAAAGUUUCAAAGGAAUCUUUAGUUUCACCAUUCAAAGUGGAAGGAAGAGUUGUCCACACAAAAAGAAAUGAUCGGAAACAUAUUAUCGCUACUCUUUCUCGUUCUGGCCUUCAAUACACAGCUCUAGUAAGAGAAGACGGAAGA